rnacentral:rRNA from 1 species
UGGGGAAUAUUGGACAAUGGGCGAAAGCCUGAUCCAGCCAUGCCGCGUGUGUGAAGAAGGUCUUCGGAUUGUAAAGCACUCUAAGUUGGGAGGAAGGGCAGUAAGCGAAUACCUUGCUGUUUUGACGUUACCGACAGAAUAAGCACCGGCUAACUCUGUGCCAGCAGCCGCGGUAAUACAGAGGGUGCAAGCGUUAAUCGGAAUUACUUGGCGUAAAGCGCGCGUAGGUGGUUCGUUAAGUUGAAUGUGAAAGCCCCGGGCUCAACCUGGGAAAUGCAUCCAAAACUGGCGAGCUAGAGUAGGGCAGAGGGUGGUGGAAUUUCCUGUGUAGCGGUGAAAUGCGUAGAUAUAGGAAGGAACACCAGUGGCGAAGGCGACCACCUGGGCUCAUACUGACACUGAGGUGCGAAAGCGUGGGGAGCAAACAGG